rnacentral:lncRNA from 15 species
AAACAUCGAGUCCUCACAUGUUCCCAGAUAUUCAGAUUGAACCAAAAAUAAUAAAUAUAACAUUUAUAAAGUCCACUGACAACCAGGAAGCAAUGAUAGUUUCAAAAUAAAAGCUUCACAAAUACAUUAAACAUUAAGACACCAAAUAAGACAAAAACAGUGCAAAUUUAUGGAAGUCUGUGGCUGCCAAUAUUAAAAUCUAAUAAUAACAACAAAUAAUAAUUUAAACAAAUUUAAAUUUCCAUUAGUCUGCUCUACUAUUACAGUUUAAACUAAAAUGGCUUCUAAUGUGUUAUAUUUGUUUUUAAUUUCAGUCACUUCUGAUCAGGAUCAAUUUUAUUGAUUUAAUAUAAUAUAAUAAUUUGGGCAGAAGUUAAACAUUUCCAAACACACAAAGUUAUUUAAAUGUAAAUGAUUAUUGAUCAGAGAUCAGCUGUUAUUGAUCUUCUCUGUGUGUCACUGCUGCAGCGCCGCCUGCUGGCAGACUGUAAUAACUGUAAAGCAUCAGUGUUGUUGUUACGGUUACCUGCUGUUUGCUUAUAAUAACAGACAUCAGAUCAGUUUUACUACAACAUACUGUCUGUUUGUCUGUCUGUCUGUCUCUCUUUCUUUCUUUCUUUCUUUCUUUCUGUCUCUCUCUGUCUCUGUCUCUCUGUCUGUUUGUCUCUCUCUCUCUGCCUCUGUCUCUCUGUCUGUCUCUCUCUGUCUCUCUGUCUCUCUGUCUGUCUCUCUCUCUCUCUCUCUCUGUCUGUCUCUCUUUCUUUCUGUCUCUCUCUGUCUCUGUCUCUCUCUCUCUCUCUCUCUCUCUCUCUCUGUCUGUCUCUCAGUGGCCAUGUCUCUCCGGAGCCUCCCAACCAUAAAGCCAAGUCCAGUGCCAAAGCUCUGUACGGAUCAGAUGAAAUCUAUUUCCUUCGUUCGUCUGCCAAACAUAAAAAGAAAAGUCGAAGUGAGCUGAGUGAACUGUGUGUUUGAUUCAAAGGAGCUGGCUCUUAUUUUGUGACAUUAGCAUUGAAUUAGCUUCUGUAGUUGUCCCAUUAAAGGAGGAGGGUGUAAUUCCUACUGCAAACACAGGGGGCAGCACCUCCUCCCACUGUGAGAUAAUGAAGGUAAUAAACCUCACAAUGUCCUCAAAACUCUCGUAGCAGUAAAGUGUUUCUAAUAUGACCCUAGGAUCAUUUCUGUAUUAUCACUGCGGUGGUUUAAAUAAUCAGAUUUUACUGAUUUAUUGUCAAUAAAGGAUCAAAAUGAUGCAGAUAUAACGACAUCAUGAUGGAGAUUUAUAAAAAGUCUGAAUUCAGACUCUAUCGGUCUGUAAGACGACGAGCAAACAGCUUUUAAAACGCUUGUUUUCGGAAUGGAGAUUGGUUGAUGAGGGUUUUGGUUGAUGCUAUGCUAACGUAGCAUUCUGGGUUUCAGAGGUUUGGUUACAUUAAUUAAAUAUUCAGAAAUAUUCUCGAAAAGAGCAAAAAAUAAGAGCCAGAACCAAGAUUUUUCUUUAAGGUUUGACUACGUGUGGAACUAUAAUUAAACAUAUUGAGAUAUAUAUAUUUAUCAAUAUGUUGAAUUAUUAUGUGUGUGUGUGUGUGUGUGUGUGUGUGUGUGUGUGUGUGUUACUUUAAAAACAUCUUUCUUUUCAAGUCAUCAAUAUUUUGGGGAUCUGAAAGAUUUCUGAAGGUCUGAUGAACAGAACCACAUCGUCUGCAAACAGCAGUGCUAUUGAUCCCCUUUUAGCUCUGUGUAUAUAUAAUAAAUGAAUUUUUAGCUUGCUAAUUUCUCUGUUAGUUAGGUAACUGGCAUCAAUUGUUAGUUAGCUAGUGUUUUGCUAACAUUCGCGUUGUGGUUCACUUCGAAGCUUAUGUUGACAUUAAUUAGUCAACUAUAACUGAACACUGAUCUGAUAGGCAAGGCUCUGCUAACGUAGCUAAGCUACACUGUCAACAUGUAGGUCACUUAAAUCAGUCCAUCCAGAAAUUGCGGGAAUUUGCAAAAAUUGCGGUUUGAUGAAAAAGAGAAAAAAAAGUGAUUCCCCCAACACCCUGUUCUCACUAGGCUACUACCUCAAUGUAAAGAGUCAUUUCUUAUUACUUCCUAUGAUAAACAUACUACAGCACAGAAAGUGCUGGGAAUAUUUAAGUUCUCAUCUGUUUUAUUUCAGACCUUAAUAAACACAUGGCUCAAACUUACAAAACAUUGAUGAGUCUAAUAAGUUCUGUAGCUUUACAAAAGGAAUGUGCUACAACUUCUGUAAAAAGGAAUAAAUAAAAUAUAAAAAAAUUAAAUGCUUCCUGUUUUACAGAGGUAGCUAUACAAAACAGACAUAUUCUGUUAAACUAAGUGCUUCCAAUGCACAAAGUGCAAUAUCUUACAGUAACGUAAAUUUACAUACUACUAAUAUACUUACAACUGUAAGGUUUUCAUCGCAGGUUUGCAGCUUUUUGAUGAUGUUCACGUCGCAUAAUUAUGUAACUUCAUAAAGUUCCCAUGGCAACAGGGGAAAAUGGCUGCUCUUGAGUGAAGCAAACGCAACA